ACGCACGCUGGCGGCGUGCUUCACACCUGCCAGUCGAACGGAAAGGCCCUGCUUUUGUGGGGUGCUCGAGUGGCGAACGGGUGAGUAACACGUGAGUAACCUGCCCUUGACUUUGGGAUAACUUCAGGAAACUGGGGCUAAUACCGGAUAGGAGCUCCUGCUGCCUGGUGGGGGUUGGAAAGUUUCGGCGGUUGGGGAUGGACUCGCGGCUUAUCAGCUUGUUGGUGGGGUAGUGGCUUACCAAGGCUUUGACGGGUAGCCGGCCUGAGAGGGUGACCGGCCACAUUGGGACUGAGAUACGGCCCAGACUCCUACGGGAGGCAGCAGUGGGGAAUAUUGCACAAUGGGCGGAAGCCUGAUGCAGCAACGCCGCGUGCGGGAUGACGGCCUUCGGGUUGUAAACCGCUUUCGCCUGUGACGAAGCGUGAGUGACGGUAAUGGGUAAAGAAGCACCGGCUAACUACGUG
rnacentral:rRNA from 1 species